AUUGUCCAAACGCAAUUCUUG
rnacentral:miRNA from 6 species